rnacentral:rRNA from 1 species
AUAUAAAUUAUUAUUAAUUUUUUUUAUAUAAAAAAUUUUAAAAUAAGAAAAUUUAGGUUUUAUUAUUUUUUUAGAAAAAAUUAUUUUAAUUAUAGGAAAUUAGUAUAGUGAUAGAAGUAAAGAAAAUAUUUUAAAGAAAAAUUUAAUUUUUGUACCUUGUGUAUCAGGGUUUAUUAAGUGAAUUUUAAAUAAUUAAAUUUCUCGAAUUAAUAAGAGUUAUAUAUAUAUAUAUAUAUAUUGUUGAAUAAAUAUUAUUAAUAUAUAUAUAGAAGUAAAAUAUUAUACGAUUAUUAAUAUAUCUAGUUUUUAGAGAAAAAAAUUGAAUUUUUUUAUUAAUUAAUAUAGAACUUAAUUUUUAGUUUUUUAUUAUUAGUAUUUUAUGUAUUAGGGGAUGAGCUUUAAUAGAGAUUAUUUUAAGUUGUAAGAUUAAUGAUUAUUAAGUAGAAUUGAAAGUUUUUUUCUUUAUAAGUGUGUUGUAACUUUUUUCUUUUUUAAGUAUGAUUUAUAUCAGUUUAAGGUUUUUUAUUUAAAUAAAAAUUUUAAUAGUAAAAGUUUUGUAAUAAUGAUGAAAUUAGUAAAAAAAUAUGUUAGCAUUUAUUGAAUUUUUAGGUUAAAUAAAGGAAUUCGGCAAAUAGAUUUUCCACCUGUUUAUUAAAAACAUGGCCUUUUGAUAAUAAUUUAAGGUCUGGCCUGCCCAAUGAAGAUUUGAAUGGCCGCGGUAUUUUGACCGUGCAAAGGUAGCAUAAUCAUUAGUUUUUUAAUUGAAAGCUGGAAUGAAAGGUUGGAUGAGAAAAUUACUGUCUCUAUUUAAAUUUAAUUGAAUUUUAUUUUUAAGUUAAAAAGCUUAAAUAGUUAUGGAAGACGAGAAGACCCUAUAGAGUUUAAUUUAUUAUUUUUUGAAAAUUUUUAGUAUUUAUUAAUUUUCUUAUAAAAAUAAAUUUAGUUGGGGUGAUUGAAAAAUUUAAUAAACUUUUUUUGAAAUUUAAUCAUUUAUUUAUGUAUAGUUGAUCCUUUUUAAAGAUUAAAAGAUAAAAUUACCUUAGGGAUAACAGCGUAAUUUUUUUAAAGAGCCCUAAUCGAUAGAAAAGAUUGCGACCUCGAUGUUGGAUUAAAAUAAAAUUUUGGUGUAGAAGCUAAAAAUUUAGGUCUGUUCGACCUUUAAAAUUUUACAUGAUCUGAGUUUAAACCGGUGUGAGCCAGGUUGGUUUCUAUCUCUAUGAAGAUGAUAUAUUUUAGUACGAAAGGACCAAAUAUUGAGUUAAAAAUUUGUUAUAAGAAUAAUAUUGUUAU